GAUGAACGCUGGCGGCGUGCCUAAUACAUGCAAGUCGAGCGAACAGACGAGGAGCUUGCUCCUCUGACGUUAGCGGCGGACGGGUGAGUAACACGUGGAUAACCUACCUAUAAGACUGGGAUAACUUCGGGAAACCGGAACUAAUACCGGAUAAUAUAUUGAACCGCAUGGUUCAAUAGUGAAAGACGGUUUUGCUGUCACUUAUAGAUGGAUCCGCGCCGCAUUAGCUAGUUGGUAAGGUAACAGCUUACCAAGGCAACGAUGCGUAGCCGACCUGAGAGGGUGAUCGGCCACACUGGAACUGAGACACGGUCCAGACUCCUACGGGAGGCAGCAGUAGGGAAUCUUCCGCAAUGGGCGAAAGCCUGACGGAGCAACGCCGCGUGAGUGAUGAAGGUCUUCGGAUCGUAAAACUCUGUUAUUAGGGAAGAACAAAUGUGUAAGUAACUAUGCACGUCUUGACGGUACCUAAUCAGAAAGCCACGGCUAACUACGUG
rnacentral:rRNA from 1 species